rnacentral:rRNA from 1 species
AACGAACGCUGGCGGCAGGCCUAACACAUGCAAGUCGAACGCCCCGCAAGGGGAGUGGCAGACGGGUGAGUAACACGUGGGAACAUGCCCUUUGGUUCGGAAUAACUCAGGGAAACUUGAGCUAAUACCGGAUAAGCCCGAGAGGGGAAAGAUUUAUCGCCGAAGGAUUGGCCCGCGUCCGAUUAACUAGUUGGUGAGGUAAUGGCUCACCAAGGCGACGAGCGGUAGCUGGUCUGAGAGGAUGAUCAGCCACACUGGGACGGAGACACUGCCCAGGAUCCUACGGGAGGCAGCAGUGGGGAAUAUUGGACAAUGGGCGAAAGCCUGAUCCAGCCAUGCCGCGUGAGUGAUGAAGGCCCUAGGGUUGUAAAGCUCUUUCGCCAGGGACGAUAAUGACGGUACCUGGAUAAGAAGCCCCGGCUAACUUCGUGCCAGCCGCCGCGGUAAAAC